rnacentral:lncRNA from 1 species
UGUUAGCCGGCUCAACACAUUCCUCCGCCAGAUAGUGCUCUACCCCUUUUCCACCUAGGAGCACUUGCACUCUUCUAGACCAGCUCAAAUAAUUCUUGCUUCCCUCUAAUUUCACAUCAUUUGGCACUAGUUCCAGCUUCAACUCAGGUGGUCUGGAACCAAUUAUGCCCAUCUCCAGAAGCUCCAGAAUCAUAGACCUCAUCUCACUUUUCAUCUCACCCUUAGUAAUUAGGGGGUCACUUCCAAUCUUGUCACCACUCUGAGCCUUAUUCGCCUCAUCCUCUGCUUUCUUCUUUGCUUCCCCAUCUGGAUCCAUCUUCCUCACCUCAAGUGCAGCACUUCACCAAAUUUCUACCCAAUUACAACUCCAAAUCAGUAGCCCGCAC